rnacentral:rRNA from 1 species
CCUACGGGUGGCAGCAGUGGGGAAUAUUGCACAAUGGGCGCAAGCCUGAUGCAGCCAUGCCGCGUGUGUGAAGAAGGCCUUCGGGUUGUAAAGCACUUUCAGCGGGGAGGAAGGCGGUGAGGUUAAUAACCUCAUCGAUUGACGUUACCCGCAGAAGAAGCACCGGCUAACUCCGUGCCAGCAGCCGCGGUAAUACGGAGGGUGCAAGCGUUAAUCGGAAUUACUGGGCGUAAAGCGCACGCAGGCGGUCUGUCAAGUCGGAUGUGAAAUCCCCGGGCUCAACCUGGGAACUGCAUUCGAAACUGGCAGGCUAGAGUCUUGUAGAGGGGGGUAGAAUUCCAGGUGUAGCGGUGAAAUGCGUAGAGAUCUGGAGGAAUACCGGUGGCGAAGGCGGCCCCCUGGACAAAGACUGACGCUCAGGUGCGAAAGCGUGGGGAGCAAACAGGAUUAGAUACCCCGGUAGAC